rnacentral:tRNA from 1 species
AUUUAUAUAAUAUAAAAAUUAUAUUUAAUUUCCAAUUAAAAAGUCUAGAAAUAACUAGUAUAAAUA